UUGUUGGGUAGGGGAGCGUUCUGUAAGCCUGCGAAGGUGGCCUGUGAGGGUUGCUGGAGGUAUCAGAAGUGCGAAUGCUGACAUAAGUAACGAUAAAGCGGGUGAAAAGCCCGCUCGCCGGAAGACCAAGGGUUCCUGUCCAACGUUAAUCGGGGCAGGGUGAGUCGACCCCUAAGGCGAGGCCGAAAGGCGUAGUCGAUGGGAAACGGGUUAAUAUUCCCGUACUUGGUGUUACUGCGAAGGGGGGACGGAGAAGGCUAUGUUGGCCGGGCGACGGUUGUCCCGGUUUAAGCGUGUAGGUGUGUGUUCCAGGUAAAUCCGGUUCACUUUAACACUGAGGCGUGACGACGAGGCACUACGGUGCUGAAGCAACAAAUGCCCUGCUUCCAGGAAAAGCCUCUAAGCAUCAGGUAACAUCAAAUCGUACCCCAAACCGACACAGGUGGUCAGGUAGAGAAUACCAAGGCGCUUGAGAGAACUCGGGUGAAGGAACUAGGCAAAAUGGUGCCGUAACUUCGGGAGAAGGCACGCUGACACGUAGGUGAAGUGAUUUACUCAUGGAGCUGAAGUCAGUCGAAGAUACCAGCUGGCUGCAACUGUUUAUUAAAAACACAGCACUGUGCAAACACGAAAGUGGACGUAUACGGUGUGACGCCUGCCCGGUGCCGGAAGGUUAAUUGAUGGGGUCAGCGCAAGCGAAGCUCCUGAUCGAAGCCCCGGUAAACGGCGGCCGUAACUAUAACGGUCCUAAGGUAGCGAAAUUCCUUGUCGGGUAAGUUCCGACCUGCACGAAUGGCGUAAUGAUGGCCAGGCUGUCUCCACCCGAGACUCAGUGAAAUUGAACUCGCUGUGAAGAUGCAGUGUACCCGCGGCAAGACGGAAAGACCCCGUGAACCUUUACUAUAGCUUGACACUGAACAUUGAGCCUUGAUGUGUAGGAUAGGUGGGAGGCUUUGAAGUGUGGACGCCAGUCUGCAUGGAGCCGACCUUGAAAUACCACCCUUUAAUGUUUGAUGUUCUAACGUGGACCCGUUACCCGGGUUGCGGACAGUGUCUGGUGGGUAGUUUGACUGGGGCGGUCUCCUCCUAAAGAGUAACGGAGGAGCACGAAGGUUGGCUAAUCCUGGUCGGACAUCAGGAGGUUAGUGCAAUGGCAUAAGCCAGCUUGACUGCGAGCGUGACGGCGCGAGCAGGUGCGAAAGCAGGUCAUAGUGAUCCGGUGGUUCUGAAUGGAAGGGCCAUCGCUCAACGGAUAAAAGGUACUCCGGGGAUAACAGGCUGAUACCGCCCAAGAGUUCAUAUCGACGGCGGUGUUUGGCACCUCGAUGUCGGCUCAUCACAUCCUGGGGCUGAAGUAGGUCCCAAGGGUAUGGCUGUUCGCCAUUUAAAGUGGUACGCGAGCUGGGUUUAGAACGUCGUGAGACAGUUCGGUCCCUAUCUGCCGUGGGCGCUGGAGAACUGAGGGGGGCUGCUCCUAGUACGAGAGGACCGGAGUGGACGCAUCACUGGUGUUCGGGUUGUCAUGCCAAUGGCACUGCCCGGUAGCUAAAUGCGGAAGAGAUAAGUGCUGAAAGCAUCUAAGCACGAAACUUGCCCCGAG
rnacentral:rRNA from 1 species